rnacentral:lncRNA from 1 species
CACAUGACUGUGAGAUCUGAUGGGCAUAUCAGUCAGAGGAAUCCUUGGCAGCUAUAUAGAUGGGCAAAGUCUUGCCCACCAGCUGGCAGGACUAAUGCCUACAGAAUCACUUCAUGUUGAUUCCAAAAUGUCUCUUUAUGCCUUGAUUCACCAACUAUUUCCCAUCAAUGUUUUCUGGGAGUCUGAUUGUCUGAGAACACUGAAAGAGGUCCAUCAUAGUCAAAAUGGGGACAACCUGGAUAGAUCUUGGUUGUAGAAAAAUUAAAAUUCUCCAAUUACAACUUAAAAUGCAUGGAAAGAAUUGAGAAAAGUCAGAUGGGAUAAGUUAAUGAAUAAGAUAAAGUACAAAUAAGGGUCAGGAACUCUGGGCUGGGAGAGCAAGGAAGAAUAUUCUGAACCAAGCUGGGAUGGAGUAUAUUCUCAGUUAGUGACGGUGAGAUUUGAAGCAUAUGUGCAUUUUCUCAGGACCUGGGCAGCAUUUCAUCCAUGUCU